GCUGGGCGGUGCGCCGCGCGUUAAGGUCUGUGAGGACGCGGGGGCGGAGCCGCUGGAGCCGGAGCCGCUGGAGCGGGAGCCGCUGAAGCCGGUUUGGGGUCACUCAUUCUGGGGAAGGCAGAUGCCAUGUCAUUGAAGACAUCCAAGCAGCUUCACAGAGAGCUCCACAAGGGACCAGUGACAACUUCUACCUGAAUGACAGAUACAUUUGAGAACUGCUGCUAACUUCUGAAAUCCCUUCCUACUCUCAGAUAAGCUCAGAGUGCCUCAUCCUGUUCUUCAUCCUGAAUUCAGGGACUGCAGUAGCCAGUGACUUAAUCCUUGUAGAACUGGGUGACUAUGCCUAAGGACCCUGCCAUCACUUAAACAUAUUAAGGACAGGCCAAUAAUCAAGAGAUGAGCUGUUGGGGCAGGGAAAAACGACUUUAUUCAGAAAGCCUGCAAACCGAGAAGAUGGCAUCAUCUACUGACAUCCUACUGGGGCUGAGGAUGUAGCUCUCUUUUCUCCACCCAUCGCAUCAUACGUACACUUGCUUCCAGUCCCUUACCCUUCCAAUAUAGUUAAAGUACAAUGUUAGUUAUGUCAUUGUUCAGUAUUCACAUUAGUAUAUCUUUCUAAAUGCUAUUCAAAUCUGUGUCAUUGAAAAGACUAGGAUUACUUUGACUUUAUUGCUAAUCUUUAUAUUUUUCCUUGAGAUUAAUGUUGCCUUAUUGUUUAAAAUUUUAAUUUUUAACAUGUUUGUCAUAAAUUUAAAUUCAAACCUUGAACUCCCCGCCAACUGUCUGAAUCUCCGCUUAAGAGUUCAGAUACGUCAGAUAUUCUGUUAAUCUUGUCUCCUCGAAAAAAAUCACUCCUGGAGCCUCUGGCCUACACUUACAUGGACCGUUUACACCCCUGGAAUUGAUUUCCUUCACCUCACCUCUUUCCAAGUCUCCUCUUUUAUCUUCACUCUCAUAAAGUUUUUCUCCAAUAGCUUCCUGACUAAGGUACAUGAAAGGAAAUUUUUUUGAGACCUUGCAUGUCUUACAAUGCCUUUAUUUCGUUCUCACUGUAUUAAUAGUUUAUAUAAUAAUAUAAUUCUCCAUUUGAAGUCAUUUUUGCCUUAGAAUUUUGCAGACAUUGUUCUAUUAUCUAUAUCCUGGUGUUUAUGUCAAGAAUUCUAGUGCCUUUCUGAUGCCUGCUCUUUGGUUUGUGACCUGUUCUUUUGUCUUUGGAGAUUGUUGGAUCUUUCCUUUAUCUCUAGUUUUGUGAAUUUCACUGAGAUUUGCCUUGGUAGGUGUGUCUUUUCAUUUGUUGAGCUGGAUGAUUUAUAACUUUUUUCUGAGAAGAAUGUUUUCUUCACCUGUUUUCCUAUGCUUUCUUUCUUGAAUUUUGGAAAGGCUAAGUGGUAAAAUCCCCAGGACCUGAAGUCAGACUGCCUGGGAUUGAAUCCUAGACUUUCUACUUAUCAACAGUGUGACAAUUUUUUUGUCUCAAUUUUCCCACUAGGAUAAUUGUAUUUGAUCUCCUGGACUGUUGUUCGUUCUUUUUCUCCCCACCUGCCAAUUCUUUGUUUUUUUCCUACACUCUGUAGGAGAUUUUCUCAACUGUAUCUUCCGCCUAUUUUUUUUUACCUACUAUCAUGUCUUUAACUUCCAGGAGCUCUUGCUUGUCUCAUUUUUGCACUAUCCUCUUAUCCCCAGAGGAUAUUAAUGAUUGUUUAUUGUUUUCUUCUUAUUGUAUAGCCUCUGUUUCCUCCAAAUUGUUGCUUUUCCCCCUCUCUUUUUUUUUUUCUUUUUUAUGUUCUAUGUUAAAGCCUUUCCUCAAAUGGCCAGUAAUCAUGAUUAUCUGUUCAAAUGUAAGGAUAGGGGAAUGAGACAUUGAUUUGAAGAUAUGAGCAUGAAGGAUAAUGAUCAAGCAUGGACCUCACAGAAAGAUCAUUUGGCUAGGACAUUUUGUUGAUUUUCUCCCAAUUUCAGAAUCUUUACAUAUUUAGAUGUCUUUGGGAACAAUUUCCCCUGAAGAGACUCCUCCAGUGUCCUUCUUGGAGGAUAAAGGCCUGGCUUCUGGUACUCCAGGAGUCAAAUGGGCAGAAAGGACUAGACAUCUCAGAAUCCUACUUUCAGUAAAGUACCCCUUAAUCAACAACUGUCCAGCGUCUGCAUCUACCAGUCCUGUUGUAUUGUACCUUCCAAGCAAUAAACCUCUGGUCUUCUAUUGGAAUGAAGAGGGGCAGUCUAGCACCUGCAUAGAGAGAAUGCACUAUGUGUCACUAAUUCCUGACAUUUUAGAGGAUUUUGUGAAAUAAACUAAAUUCAUUCUUUACUGCUCCCACUGCAGACGAGAUAUAACUUUCUCAAGUAUGCUAAACCAGUACCACUUUUCCAUCUGCUUUCCAGCUCUCCCAAAAUUUUGUGUGUUUUCCCCAUCCUUUUUGGUUUAUUUCUUUUAAAAAAUCCAUUUUCUACACUAAUUAG